AAAACUCUUUUUUUCCUUCAACAUUUUUAUACUACAUCGCUAUACUCAGGGCUCUAUAGUGCGAGUAUUUAACUUGCAUUUGCCCCGAAAAAAGGAUAUGUGCGAACCAGUGACAGACUGGCCAUCUGGAAUUUUGGGCAAAUGCCAAGAUGGGCCGCAGGCAACCAUUGGCCAUUUGGGCCACUCAGAAUUAAUUGGUAUAAUAGGGGGAAAAUAAAAUGUAUAGUCAUCGACUAGGGCAUCAAAUCCCAGAAUCCUCCCUCUCCUCGUUCUUCAAAGGACAUAUAUGUGAAAGGUACUGCUAUAAAUAACGUAGCUCCUUAAAGGAAUAGGGCAGUAUGUAAUGUGUUUGCGUAGCGAGUGUUGAGAGAUGGAGGGCCGGUUUCACAGACAGGGCUUAAAUCAAGCCAGGAUCAGUCCUUAAUCCAUAUUAGUUAAACUAGGACAUUUAAGUAGCCUCCAUGAACGUAUCUUAAAUUUGGUUUAGUUAGUCGAAGACUAGGGAGUCCUGGAGUAAGAUAAGUAAGUCUAAAUGAGAGCACCUGGGUUAAACCUCAUCAGGUUAAGUAUGAGCACAUGCCGUUCGUCUCAUGGUGCUCAUAAAAACCCGGAGUGGAAUCGAAAACACAAUUUAAUGGUAUGAAUCCUGAGACAUAACAAUGGCAGAGGCAAAAAGAAUUCGUUCAAAAAAACUUUAGUGAGUAUGAAAAAACGCUACUAAAACAAAUUUUAUCAAACCAUCCGGUUAUUGAAAGUAAAAACCAUACUACUGCUACUGAGCAAAAGAAAAAGAAUGCUUGGGCCGCAAUUUGCAGUGAAUUCAAUGCAAAUGAAAAUGUAACCACAAGAACAGUACAACAACUUCAGACUCUGUGGGAGAAUAUUAAACUGGCUUUAAAAAGAGAAAAUGCAAAAACCAGAAGAGAGAGAUUUAAUACUGGUGGUGGACCACCAAAAAAGACAAGGCUGAUGAAUUGAGUGACUUGCUGUCUGGAAUUAUUGAACCCCAGCAACCUCUGGAUGGUAUACCAGAUGCUGACCAUUUGGAUAGUUCAGAUGAAGAACUGAGCACAAAUGAGGAAAGGAAUCUGAGCAGUGUGGAAGAGCCUGCAGUGUCCACUGAGUGUGGGCCCUCUACAUCUACUAUAACAUCCUUAAGAGAAGAUGCUGCUGCCACCUCUCAACAGAGAACAAAAAAGAUGACCAUGCAUGAAAAGUUAGCCAGAGAAUUUCAUGAGCAUAAACUGAAAUAUCUGAAGGAAGAACAUGAAAUGAAAAUGAGAAUUCUACAGGUUGAAUUGGAUAUGAAGUUGGACGAGAGAGCUAUCCAAAAAAGAUACAGUAAUGAGACAAUUGUGGUUGCCAGCCAUGAUGAACAAUAUACGUAAAAAUAAAUAAAUGUUUUGUCAUUUGCAUAUUCAUGAGUUUGAGUAUUUUAAUCACCACAAACUACAUUUUAAACCAGCUUUGGUUUAGUCACUCAUUUAAUUUGCUGCACACCAUGUACAAAAAAACAUCCAAGCAAAAAUAGGCCAUAAUGAAUACAUUCCAUAUUUAAAUACAUCUCA